rnacentral:rRNA from 1 species
AGCGAACGCUGGCGGCAGGCUUAACACAUGCGAGUCGAGCGGGCCCUUCGGGGUCAGCGGCCGACGGGUGAGUAACACGUGGGAACGUACCCUUUGGUUCGGAAUAACGCUGGGAAACUAGCGCUAAUACCGGAUACGCCCUUUUGGGGAAAGGCUUGCUGCCGAAGGAUCGGCCCGCGUCUGAUUAGCUAGUUGGUGGGGUAAUGGCCUACCAAGGCGACGAUCAGUAGCUGGUCUGAGAGGAUGAUCAGCCACACUGGGACUGAGACACGGCCCAGACUCCUACGGGAGGCAGCAGUGGGGAAUAUUGGACAAUGGGCGCAAGCCUGAUCCAGCCAUGCCGCGUGAGUGAUGAAGGCCUUAGGGUUGUAAAGCUCUUUUGUCCGGGACGAUAAUGACGGUACCGGAAGAAUAAGCCCCGGCUAACUUCGUG